rnacentral:rRNA from 1 species
CUCGUAGGCGGCCUCUUAAGUCGGACGUGAAAUCCCCCGGCUCAACCUGGGAACUGCGUCUGAUACUGGGGGGCUGGAAUGCGGGAGAGGGAUGCGGAAUUCCAGGUGUAGCGGUGAAAUGCGUAGAUAUCUGGAGGAACACCGGUGGCGAAGGCGGCAUCCUGGACCGUGAUUGACGCUGAGGAGCGAAAGCCAGGGGAGCAAACG